UACAGAGGGUGCAAGCGUUGUUCGGAAUUAUUGGGCGUAAAGGGAGUGUAGGCUGUGAGGUAAGUCUUCUGUGAAAUCUACGGGCUUAGCCUGUAACGUGCAGAGGAAACUGCUUCGCUUGAGUGUCGGAGAGGAUAGGGGAAUACCCGGUGUAGAGGUGAAAUUCGUAGAGAUCGGGUGGAACACCAGUGGCGAAGGCGCCUAUCUGGCUGACAACUGACGCUGAGACUCGAAAGCAUGGGGAGCAAACGGG
rnacentral:rRNA from 1 species